rnacentral:lncRNA from 1 species
UGAAUAUUGAUUAUAUAUUCAGAGCUCUAUGAAAAGCUGAAUUUAGAUUUUUGAUAUUGAUGAUCACAUGUUUCCCAGGAUUGUUGUUUACAAGAACUGAGCUACGUGACAUUAGAACUCUUUCUAAAGCUUGAUGGUAUGUUUCUUCUCUAUAUUCCUGCAAAAAGAAAAUGAAUCUUAAAUCAGCUUUUACAACCAUAAACUGCACAAUCGUGUAUAAUAUGUAUCUUUAACAAUACUCAUAUGUAUCUUUCGUAUGUUUAUAUAGCUAAAAAUAAAACAUCACAAGAUACAUGAUUAUACCCAAAUAAGAUGUUACAAAAACAAGAUGUUUCUUAACAUACUGGAAAACAAAAUGAUAGAUAUAUAAACUGCACAAUCGUGUACAAUAUGUAUCUUUAACAAUACUCAUAUGUAUCUUUCAUAUGUUUAUAUAUGUAAAACUAAAAUAUCACAAGAUACAUAAUUAUACUCAAAUAAGAUGUUAGAAAAAUAAGAUGUUUCUUAAUGUACUGGAAAACAAAAUGAUAGAUACAUAAACUGCACAAUCGUGUACAAAAUAUAUUUUUAACAAUACUCAUAUGUAUCUUUCGUCUAUUUAUAUAGCUAAAACUAAAACAUCACAAGAUACAUAAUUAUACUCAAAUUUAGCACCACAUAUACAAGAACACGAAAAAUGUAUCAUGAACACAAAAAAGUUAUGUAUCUCGGUCAUAUUAACAUAACUAAAAAUAGUUACGUCAAAAAACUUAUCAAUUUAAAGUUAGGUACAUAAUUCAUUAAACUAGAGACAAUUAACAAAAACUAAUACGUUAAACAAGAUACAUACCUUUUCUUGUCCGAUCUUUUCGUAUAGAAGUUGAAGGAAUACUCAAUUGCAUUACGAAUCAACAAAGGUGCCGCAUUACCAUCAACUAUGUAGUCCAUCACUUUUAUAACCUUCGUAAUUUGUAUCGUUAAUCCAAACUCCGGAAUGACGUAAAAAUAUGGAAA